GCGUCUGUUCGGUCUUGAAUGUCCGUUCGACGACGAAAUCGGCCCUUGCC
rnacentral:sRNA from 1 species